UUCUCUCUCACUAGAAUGCACCCACCGUACACCCCAUCCUUCUCUCUCACUAGAAUGCACCCACCGUACACCCCAUCGUUCUCCAACACUAUCUCAGAUCUAAUUUGUAUCACCGCUGAGAAAAAAAACAGAUAAUCGAUCGCUCAGUUUUCUUUCCUUUCGUUGUUAGUCAUGGAACACGCAGGUUUUUUUUCGGGGCUUAUUUUGUUCAUCAGGUUAAUCUUGGGGAUGUACUCCAUCAUUUUGGUUUUUGAUUUCGUUCCCGGGGAAGGUGGAUCACCAAUUUGAGUUUUGGGUACAACAAUUAUAUUACAGAAUGAGAAACUGCAACCUAUAUAAAGGUCACCUGAUUUUCAUUGGCAAAUCACGCUCAAGCACCACAUUUCCCAGCCAUUUCCAUCCAUCUUUACUCUUUUGAACUUCUCCGCUGCACUGAUUUCCGGUUGACAUAAUGGCUACUACAGUGCUGCCAGCCACCACCGUGGCCGUACAGUCUCCUGGAAUCCUAACACUGAAAGACUUUCAGUAAAAAAAUUGAGUCGGCCCAUGGAUGACCUGAGUUCGCAUUGUCUGAUUGUGGCACGAAUCGGACUUCAUAAGAACUAAUGAGGUUACCAACCUUGAUUUUCUCCUGCUGGAUGACGCCGGUGACCUACUACACGCAAUUUUUCUGAAGAAUUUCAUCUGGAAAUUCGAACCCUUGCUAGAAGAAAGGAUGCUGUUGUGUCUUAAAAAUUUGACAUUUGUACAAAUUCGAACCCCUGCUACGUAGUCCACUAAUUAUUUGAAUAAGAAUAUCAGUUCGGGAUUGUUGAAUUGAGGGGUGCAGAUAUAUCAUUGCAGAUUAUGAAUUGCAAUGGUCGAUAUGGCGAACAAGGACAUUUUCAAUGUAUUAAUUAUCAACACGAGUGGGUUUUAGUCUAAACAUCCUGGCAACUGAAAGACCGUAUAUGCCGUAUGUUAGCACUUGAAGCCACAAUUUUUUGGUUAAGAGUCGUAUGGUGGUUGAAAAAAAAGGGAUUCAUUAAUCACUUUGUUUAGCUGCAAAAAAAAAAAAAGAUUUGCGGCCUUCGAAGAGAAACAAAAAAACGCAAGGGAUAAAUUGCUUAGCAAAAUUUAUGGGUAAUUAUAAAUCUGGAUUAAUAUCCAUUCCAGUGUUUUUACGGCAAUGACUUUAUCACAUCGGCUCAUUCUUUUAUUUAACAGGGUUCACUUGGACUACUAAGAUUUAUGAGAUAUAUCAUUAUGCCGAUAUUUGUAACUCCCACAAUCACAAUUCAUGACUGCUUUCUCUUCCGAUUCCCAGUGACUUAUCUGCCGCCACCACACUUAUGUAACUCCCACACCUUAUAAUCAUAAUUGAAACUUAUAUUACCAUUUGGAUUUUGAAACGGAAACAUGCAGACACACCAUGUACAUCGAACGACUUUACACUGUCCACAUUAAGGUUAAAAGGUGUAUUUAAGGAGGUGGAAAGGUUGAGAUACCACAUGCGAUAGAUAAGUUUACCACAUAUUUUCAAACUUGAAUAUGGCAGAACAUAUAAACUGCAGCACAACAAAAUACAUCAUGUCCUAUCUCAAGAAACAAUCACCAGGAAGAGCACUCCUAACAGGCAUAACCUCCAAUGAAUCGAACAACAACAGUAGCAUGACUACCAUCCGAAGGGACCAAGCAAUCCAUUCUACAUAUGAACGAAGACACUGGAUGUCAAUUGCUAUGAUAUGUGAGAAGAAAAUGAAGUCAGAGAUUCAGGCAGGGGAAACAUUGACUACACUGGCGGAAAUAACUCAAUUCGCUGAUGAUUGGUGCUGCAUAAACUGUCCAGAAUGCAGCCAGGAUUUUGAGGAAAUAAGACACGAGAAGCAGUGUCUAAAGUGCUUGAAAUACAUUAGCUUAACUCAAUACCAACGUAAUAUUUAUGUUCUUUGACUUUUUUGAAUUACAUAAAAUGAACAUUACAGAAUAUCGACAUAAAGAAAUUGUUAUACUAACCAAUACUUGGACAAA